rnacentral:rRNA from 1 species
UCAAGAAACUUCCACAAUGGGCGAAAGCCUGAUGGAGCGACGUCGCGUGAUGGACGAAGUGCUUCGGCACGUAAACAUCUUUUAUGUCGGAUGAAAUUAUUGACAGUACCACAUGAAUAAGGGGCUCCUAACUCUGUGCCAGCAGGAGCGGUAAUACAGAGGCCCCAAGCGUUAUCCGGAAUCACUGGGCGUAAAGGGUGUCGAGGCGGUUGUAUUAGUCGUUCGUAAAAUCUACGAGCUUAACUUGUAGGCGGCGAACGAAACGGUACGACUUGAGGUUUGGAGAGGUGCGUGGAACUCACGGUGUAGGGGUGAAAUCCGUUGAUAUCGUGGGGAACACCAAAGGCGAAGGCAGCGCACUGGCCAAAAUCUGACGCUCACACACGAAAGCUAGGGUAGCGAAGAGGAUUAGAUACCCUCGUAGUCCCUGAGCGGGCUGGCAAGGCGCAU